rnacentral:rRNA from 1 species
GACAGAGGGGGCAAGCGUUGCUCGGAAUCACUGGGCGUAAAGGGCGCGUAGGCGGGAUGGCAAGUCGGUCGUGAAAUCCUUCGGCUCAACCGAAGAACGUCGGCCGAUACUGCCGUUCUUGAGGGAUGCAGAGGAGAUUGGAAUUCCCGGUGUAGCGGUGAAAUGCGUAGAGGUGCGGCGGAACACCGAUGGCGAAGGCAGCCCCCUGGGCUGAGAUUGACGCUCAGGCACGAAAGCGUGGGGAGCAAACAGG